rnacentral:misc_RNA from 1 species
ACAUUCCAUACAAGCAAACUCAGCCAUGUUUAAGUUAAGUGUACACGUCUGCAUGUUUGAUGUCCGAUUCGACGAAUAUGUAAAUUGAUUUAUUUUAAACAAGAAAAGCGAUGGAUCCUCGUUCUAGUGCCCAGGACGUGCACCGAUGUGACCUUUGUGAGACCGCUUUAGUACACAGCUACUGUGACUUUUGUCAUGUCAACCUCUGCAAGCUUUGUAUAGCUGAUCACAUCUCAGAUGGAUAUGACAAACAUAAAAUAGUCCCUUUCCAGGAGCGAAGAUCAACUCUGAUUUACCCAAAAUGUGGGACACAUCCACACAAAAACUGUGACUUGCAUGCAAGAAUUGCAACGACAUAUUUGUUUGUUCUUCUUGUACUGCAUCAGAAACGCAUAAAGGACAUAUUUUUGUAGACGUUUCCGAAGUUUACACGACAAAGAAAAAUGCUAUUGCGGACGAGGCAAAUAAGUUAGAAAACCUUAUUUCUCCUACAUAUGAAGAAAUUGCACUCGACUUGGAAAAUCAGCUUGCCAACCUGGAUGGAGGAUAUGAGAAACUUACAACAGCAAUGUCCAAGCAAGGAGAGCAAUGGCACAGAGAAAUUGAUAUUAUUAUCAAUAAAAUGAAAACUGAAAUCAGUGAGAUAAAAGUAAAACACAGAGACAUUUUACAGAAACACUUGGAUGAAAUCAAACAGAUACAGUCUCUCAUGAAACAAACAUUACUAGCCAUAGAAGAAAUCAAGAAAUCCGCUAAAGUAUCUCCUACCAUUGAAUACAGCUCAAAGAUCAGAGAGUUCAGCAAGCUGCCACCCAAAGUGAAGAUUACACUGCCAACAUUCAUUCCCAAACCAUUAGACCAUGAAAAGUUGUAUAAUUUGUUUGGCCAGAUCACUCCUUUGUCUACUGCUACAGAAGAAAAUGUCUUGUCACUAAACCAACCCAACACUUCAGUGAGAGAACUACUGGAUGAACCGGAGCUUGUUGCCACAAUACAGACUGGGUAUGAAAAACUACGCAGUGUUACCUAUCUUAAUGAAGAUUGUGUUUGGACAUGUGGAUUGACAAAGGAUAUCAAAUGCUUUAACAUUAAAGGUGUAUUACUUCAUACACUUAGCAACAAAUCAGAGCAACGACCCAGUGAUAUAGCUGUAGACAGUGAUGGAAACUUACUUUUCAGUGACUUGAAAUCAAGGACAGUGAAUAAAGUAAAUAAUGGACAGACAGAAGAGUUGAUCAGACUACAGGGAUGGACGCCUUCUAAACUGUGUGUCACCUCUAAUGGUGAUCUCCUGGUUACCAUGUACAGUGAUGAUGAAACUCAAUCCAAAGUUGUCCGUUACAUGGGAUCUGCAGAGAAACAAGCAAUUCAGUUUGAUGAUGAAGGUAAACCUCUGUACUCAGGGAUUAGAAAACCUAAAUGCAUCACUGAAAACAGAAACUAUGACAUCUGUGUAGCUGACAGUGGGGCUAGAGCAAUAGUGGUGGUUAAUCAGAACGGGAAACUCAGAUGGAGAUACAUCGGUCAUCCCUCAGUUACCAAAAAGGAACCAUUUAAACCCUUUGGUAUCACAACAGAAAGUCAGAGUCGUAUCCUGACAGCAGAUUGUCACAACCAUUGUAUUCACAUUCUGGAUCAGGAUGGACAGUUUCUCCGCUACAUUGAUAACUGUGAUCUGCAGAAUCCCUUUGGUUUAUGUGUGGACAAAAAUGACAAUCUUUUUGUAUCAGAACAUUUUAAAGGCAAUGUAAAGAAAAUAAAAUUUCUUAGAUAGACACCAAACUGGGUGAUAGAGAUUAAGCAAGACUAUUUGCAUGAAUUUGAUGAUUUGUUGUAAGAAGUAAAGUAAACUUUGUUCAUAUCAGGGGUGCAGAACACGUGUAUUUUAUACUAUAUAUAAAUGAAUAUUUAAUUCAUUGU